UAGGGAAUCUUCGGCAAUGGACGAAAGUCUGACCGAGCAACGCCGCGUGAGUGAAGAAGGUUUUCGGAUCGUAAAACUCUGUUGUUAGAGAAGAACAAGGACGUUAGUAACUGAACGUCCCCUGACGGUAUCUAACCAGAAAGCCACGGCUAACUACGUGCCAGCAGCCGCGGUAAUACGUAGGUGGCAAGCGUUGUCCGGAUUUAUUGGGCGUAAAGCGAGCGCAGGCGGUUUCUUAAGUCUGAUGUGAAAGCCCCCGGCUCAACCGGGGAGGGUCAUUGGAAACUUGGAGGCUUGAGUGCAGAAGAGGAGAGUUGAAUUUCAAGUGUAGCGGUGAAAUGCGUAGAUAUAUGGAGGAACACCAGGGGCGAAGGCGGCUCUCUGGUCUGUAACUGACGCUGAGGCUUGAAAGCGUGGGGAGCAAACAGG
rnacentral:rRNA from 1 species